rnacentral:lncRNA from 14 species
GCCUGCCCUCAGGAUCCGGCCAAAUUCCCUGUGCCUGAAGUUUUCCUUUUCCUUUUUCAGUUGUGUCCUAAUUGGGAAACCAGGAGAAGCCAUAAAACCAAAACCAAACAAACAGAAUUAAUGAGCAGCACCAGGGGAGGGGGGAAAGCGUUUUUGGCCGGAGUCCUUGGCACAGGGAGGGAAGAGCUGCUCCUCUUGGAGAGCGUUUAGUCCCUGCAAGCUGCCAGUGGAGGAAGUCAAGUGCAAACCGAGUGACUGGAAGCUGAGUUCUCUGCAGCCUCCCUCUGCUUUGCUCAUUUAGUGCCUCAGCCUUAGCAGUGGGUACUUGGAUGUUUAUUCCCAGGCUAAAUUGGUUUUGGAGCUGCGACUCCUUUGUCAGCGAGAGAGAAAGCAGCCUGCCCAUGGGCUAACAGCCUUCACUGCCUGCUUGGGCUCACACCACGGGGGCCUGCAGUGAGCAUCCUCAGGUACCACACUGACCAAACCCUGCCGCAAGCACCUGGCACCAGCCUGGGGGAGGCAGCAGGGAUGAGCAUCCCUGGGGCUGGCUGCUGUACCUCCCGUUCCAGGAAUCCCACAGAGCAUCCCACAGGAACAGCCUGAGCUUCUUCCCUGCUCCUUGGCAGCCAGGCAGCCCAGACCUGUUUGCCAGCAUGGAGAAGGGCUUCUGGUGCUGGCAGAUGCAGGAAGCUGAUGUGCAGGGAGCCACCUGUUGAAGCCAUGGGAUGAGGUCUGUGCAUCUGAGACUCUGUCAGAGCUCAAAGCUUCCCUGCUCCUCCAAGCAAGGAUCUGUCUGAUAUAGACCAGAGCAAAGUAAGUGUUGGUAAAUCUCCAUCAGUUUAUGUACACAGCUCCAGUUUAUGUAGGGAUUGUGUGGCAGCUCCUAGUACAAGCCUCUUCAUGUAGCCCCCUCUGUACAAUUGGGGGUCAGUUUUCUCACCCUUAUGUUUGGUUCUUUGUGGCCAGUGUCUAUUUGGGGGUUUCUGGCCUCUCUUUCCUGUGUUCCCUUUCCACAGCAGCCUUGCACUGAGCAGCCAACACUUUCCUUGUGGGCUACAUGGAAAACCCAUCCUUGUAGGGAAAGGACUCAUCAAGCCUCAUCUUCACCCUCAAUGGCUGCUUCACAAAGUUGGGAGGCAUCUUGA